rnacentral:rRNA from 1 species
AAACUGGGAUUAGAUACCCCACUAUGCUUAGCCCUAAACACAAAUAGUUAUAUAAACAAAAUUAUUCGCCAGAGUACUACCGGCAACAGCCUAAAACUCAAAGGACUUGGCGGUGCUUUAUACCCUUCUAGAGGAGCCUGUUCUAUAAUCGAUAAACCCCGAUAAACCUCACCAGUCCUUGCUAAUACAGUCUAUAUACCGCCAUCUUCAGCAAACCCUAAAAAGGAAUAAAAGUAAGCACAAUUAUAAGACAUAAAAACGUUAGGUCAAGGUGUAACCUAUGGAGUGGGAAGAAAUGGGCUACAUUUUCUACCUUAAGAAAAUUCACAUACGAAAGUUACUAUGAAACUAGUGACCAAAGGAGGAUUUAGUAGUAAACUAAGAAUAGAGUGCUUAGUUGAAUUAGGCCAUGAAGCACGCACACACCGCCCGUCACCCUC